GUGGCGACGGUGUGGGUGCAGGCGCUGACGGGGACAAACUUCGACUUCUCGGCCUACUCGUCGGCGCUCAAGGCCUCCAUGGGUGUCUCCCAGCAGUCGCUCAACUACCUGGCCACCGCCUCCGACCUCGGCAAGGCGUUCGGCUGGUCGUCGGGGCUGGCGCUGCUCUACAUGCCGCUGCCGGCGGUGCUGUUCCUGUCCGCCGCGCUCGGCCUCGCCUCCUACGCGCUCCAGUACGGCAUCCACCGCCACGCCAUGACUCACCACCAGGAGCUCCGGCUCGGGGGAAAGGGUCGCCGGCCUGGGAGGGGAUUGGGGAGAGUCGCCGGCUCAGGGGGAGGGUCGCCGGCCUGGGAGGGGAGGGGGGUCGCCGGCUCUGGAGGGGAGGGAGGUCGCCGGCUCGGGAGGGGAGAUGGCCGGGACGGGAGACAUAGGGGGAGGGAAGAGAAGAGAGGGAGAGGAAGAAGAAAGAGAAGAGGAAGAUGCAACUUACAUGUGGGCCCCACAUGUAAGUUAACGGUCAAACUAAGGUCAAACUAA
rnacentral:rRNA from 1 species